AAGCCUCAGCUUUUUCAUGGUUAGAUGCUGAUAAUUCUUUACACUUCGUUGACCUUAUUACUGAUCUGGGUCUUAUAUUCCUACUUUACACAGCAGGUGGACCUGAAACAUAUCCAUGAUUGACCACAUGGACCAGCCUUCCAACUGGAAAGCUAAAUGAGAUCUAUUUAGAGGACUGAUGAACACAGAAAAAAAUAUUAUUAGAGAACAUCUGGAACCCAGAGGAGAAUACAAUGGCCAUAUAUACAGAGAACAUCUGGAACAUCAGGGGAGAAUACAAUGACUAUAUGAACAAUGUGGAUCCUAAUGUUGUUUGAAAUUUGAAUUGUGUUUGGGAUUUGGGAUUAAGCUUUUCAUACUUUCAUCUUUUGGCCCUGGUUGGAUGUGGGUGAACUACUCAUAAAAGAAAAAGCAGAUAUUCUUUAUUUGAAACAAUACAAAUCAAAUAAUACUAGCAGUAGAUAUUCCAGUGUUGUAGGAUGGAUGAGCUAAACAUGAGAGCAAAGUCUCAUAGAGACAGAAUUGACUAUAGAGAAGACUGCUCUAUCAUUUUUUUCUUUCAAAAUAUACACAAAGGGGUAUUUAAAUAAGCCGGUAAUAUAAUUUUACAAAAACAAGGAUGGAAUUCAAUAUGUGCUGUACCAAAUUCCCAGCUGUUCAAGUAUAGUGAUAAAAACUAAAAGAGAAGGCUAAGAUAAAUUCUAUUAUAGAUACAUUUUAUUUUCAAAAUUGCAAUGCGUAGAAAUAAAGAACAACUGAAAUGCUUAGCAGAGGUGGUUGUUUGUUUGUUUUAGGGCCUAUAAUUUUAAAUUUAGUCUAACAUCAAUUAGUUUUGUAGUUCAUAUAAUUUAUGUAGCUCUAUGUGAGGUCUCUGUCAAGGUUCCUAAAAUACGUGCAACUUAGUCUGUCAAGGUAAUCAUAGUAUGCUCCUGUCUGUGGUUUGCAUCAUGUCCAUAAAGAGAUUUUUUUUUCCAGUGCCGGGUGUACUUCAGGACAAGAUGAUUAAAAUUAAAUCUUAUUUUAGUAAUUCUACUGAACAAUGCUUAUUGUGAUAGGAAGCUAUUUGAUACCUGUUUUUCUUUCCUUUUAUGUAUGAUGUAAAUAUUAACACCAACACUUUCAAACCUGGGUGCCUAGAAUUAGAAACCUGAUUUUAUAUUUUAUGCUGCUAAAUAUGUGGCCUUCACAUCUAAGGUCUCUGAUCACCUGCCAGUUCCUUUGAAUUCAAUACAGUCAUAUCUGCUUAUAUCGGGUCUGGAUGUUGCUGAGUAUAUUUACAGUCCUUUCCUGUGGUAAAAUAAUGGAAAAAUAUAUUGUGAUAAAACUAAACAUCUAAAAGAUAAGGGAACCACGAGCAUUAAGGAAAAUAGGCAUAUAAAAAGUGACUCAUUACUUUAUUGGUUUUUUAUUAGUGGAAGUCUGAUGUAAUAGACGUGAUUUAUCAUAGCCUGGCUAUGUGAGGACUUAGGCCUCGCCUUCAUUGAAAAGUUUUCUUGUGUCUGAACAGUAUGACACGGUACGAUCUGCAUAAACCAGGAUAAACUGAAUUCAGUGUUUUAUGAACUAGCCCAGAUUAAAAACCUAAGGGUGUUUUUACAUGUGCUCU